CAAAGUUAAUAAAUAGUAAGUAAUUUCAAGAAUAAAAUGGCUAGCGGUAAUUGUAACCCCUAGCUCAAAAUAUCCCAAACUCACGUUUGGCUCUUUCAAUUUUAAUUAAUACGGCAAAACAAGUGCUCAGUAACGAGCUGCGGAAAUGCAACAUCUAUAGUGCGACAUGUCAGGAAAUAGUAUAGUUCACUCGCGCAAGAUGACAGACAUAAAUAGAAUAUUUGCUUGCGAAUAGGAAUUUUAUGUCUCUCAUCUUGUUAUAAUAAUCAUAUUAAUUAACUUUGCCAAGGGUGUGGAGGAAACCUGCUUUGCAAAGAUAAAACUUUAGCUGUAGGCAAAUAGUUUAACUGAUGGAACAACUAGAUUAUUUACAGGGUGCUGUCAUAUAGACACACUCAAACAUUUUACGUUUAGUCGCUUAUAGUCAGCUGUCGAGCCAAGUCAUUAAUCUUUUCAGCAGUAAUUUGUAUACAUCCCACCUCCUCCCCAUGCCUGCAUCCAUCAUCCUGGUG